UACUUUCAUUAAGGUAAAACUUUCAAAGGGAAUGACCCCAUACUCACUGGGUAGUUUGGCCCCUAUGCUAACUUCAGCUUUGUCAAUUUGGGAAUGAAGAAACUCUAAAAGAUCACUAGGUGCUUGCUCUUUGUUGCUCUGAUAGCCUAUGCCAUCUCACUCAUUUCUUGUAAUUCUUGUUUUAGUUGGGCAAUUUGGCGUUUCAGACUGGUUGCCCUGGUCUGAUAAUGUUCUUCUUGUUCCUGUAGGAGGGCUUGAUAAUACUCUUUACCAUAAUUUUCCCCAACAACACCAGGAAGAGAUGCAUUUCCAUCAGUCUGGGGGGCACAUUCCAGGAGGUACAUAAAUAAUACCAAACUGCAGAGCAAAGCAAGGCCC
rnacentral:lncRNA from 1 species